UUAGGUACAUGGUUAAAUACACAUAUCGAUCACAGAAAAAAAUAAAUAAACAUAAAUGUGUGGAAUGAAAUUAAAGAUGAUAAACGAAAGCAGAAGGUCCGAGAGGGUCUGGACCAAAAAACGAAAAUCAAGAUAAGCGAGAGUGAAUGAAACUGAUAAUUUUAACGAAUAGAUGUAGUAGGCAAAGUGCGCAGUUCGUCGUCCAGUGAACCGUUGUCCGUUGCUGCAAAUUCAAAUCUUGUUCCACUUUUGUUCGCUUGGGAGGGGGGAGAGGUCACGUGUGUGCGUUCUCGCGAAUAUGUGGACCAAAAAUAGAAGGCGGAAGCGUUGCCUAAUCGGUCACUUUGUUUUAUGUGUGCAUAGUAGUUCAAUUCAAGUAGCCGAUGGAAUAAAUUAGCAAGCUCCACUGACCGACACAUUCGAAAGUCACGCGCAUGACACUCACUCCAUAGCCUGCUUGUCUGCCCUAUCCUGUCGUAUCAGAGGAGGCACUCGCAAAUAUGUUUACAUUGCGAUGGUGGUGGUGGUGGUGGCACGAUUUUGGCUUUUCUUUGUUUGACUUAGCCUCGACUUGCCCUCCACCGUCGUCGGUCGUUGAAAACCAGAACGCGAGCGAGACAAGCCACAAUAUUGAUAAGGAAAGUGCACGGCGGUAUAAACACACAAAAGCGUAAUAUUGCAGCUGUUGGGCGGUUUGUUUGCACCAAUUGUUUUGCGCUGGAAUCGCCGCUAUGACCCAUUAUUGUUUGAUCUUCCAUAUUGAAUUUAUGGUGCCUUUGCAAUCAGACACCUUCCAUACUGAAUGGUGACCUUAAACGUAAUUUACGCUUCUUAACCUUUUCCAAAAUCACACAGGACCGCUAAUCUAAUUUCUAAUUUAAGUACCACUCUCAAGUUGAGACGGUUGCGUCAAUUGGGUGCUGCAAUCUUGGCUAAAACGUAGAAUUUCAUGUCUUAUCUGAGAGUGCUUAUUUUUUCUGGGCAGCUCUUAACUUCUCAACCCACUAGCGAGCGCAGUAUGGAAGACAAACUCGCUGUAGAUUACAUUUAAAUCGUAGUUUCUGCAUCCUGUUUAAUGCAGAUUACGAAUAUGACAUAACUUUAAUGCCCCUUAAAAUAGGUCGCUUGUGAAUAGUAGUGAACUUAUGCUUUUUUAGUAUUCACCUACAGCAAAUUGUAGCAGACACUACAACCUCCCAGAGCGUAUCUGCAACUCUUGAAACGAUCUAAAGAAUACAAAAACACCUCCGACCUUACACGAUCUAAAGAACCCUGUUCACUCCUUAAACUCCUUCUAUUUGAAAUUCAUUUGAAAUUUGUCGAAACUUCUCAGAAACAGGCUUGCUUCCACUCACUUGCUAUAAAAAAUAUUUCCUGAAUUUUGAAAUCAUUAGAUGUUAUAAUGAUAUUUUGUCAUUGUCAGGCACAAGAAGAGGCUGAAAGGCAAGUAUUUAACUACAUAAGCCUAUCAAAUUCGCUUUCAGAUAGUCACAAUCAGCGAUUUUACGACUCGCGAGCGCUCACUCUGAGUGAACGCUCACGAAUCAUAAAAUCGCCGAUUGUAACACUCUGGAAUCGAAAUUGACAGGUAGUAUGUGUCAAACACUUGCCUUUCAACCUCUUCCUGUAUCUUACAAGGACAAAAUAUCAUUAUAACAUGUAAUGACUUCAAAAUUCAGAAAAUCAUCUUUUUAUAGCAAGUGAGUGGAAGCAACCCUGCUCAGAAUAGUUUGAACUUCUCUGCUUCAUCUUUUUAGAAGCAUUCUAAGACCAAACCUCUAAAAAAACUUGAAUUUACUUCAGAAAAGCAUCAAUAAAUGCUCAUAAAUUGGCUUGAGAAACCUCCAGGAAGUCUAGAAGAACUUAUAAAAAGCCCAGAGAACUCCCGAGAAACCCGAGAGAAUUUUAGAGAAGUUCAAUGAACUUCAGAUAAACUCUAGUAAAAAAUACCAUAAACGAUAACCACUAAACUAUUCCACAAAUGGUUUGGAUGAUACCCCGAACAUGUCGUUAAGCAAGAUGACCAUAACAUAUUUUUAUUAGGAAGUUCAACGAACUUCAAAGAAGCUCACGGAGCUUCGGAGCAAUCUGCGGGACCACGAAGACCUAAGAAAAAUAAGCUCAUGGAACUUCCAAGAAGUACAUGGGUUUUUCCGAAAGAUUUACGAGUGUAGGGAACUUCAUAUAAGUCCGGGUAACCUUCGAAGAAGUCCAGAAGAGUUUUAUAAAAGUUCAAGCAAAUCUAUUGAAUUCAGAGAAGUUCAAUUUGUCAGUACAUGUUGUUCCAAGAACGGUUGUGACACUCUCCUGAAGCUUCCUGUUUCUCAAAUUAGCAAAACAAUGCCGAAAUACUGUAAUUUCUGUUGAACAGUUCUAACCCUCCGAAUGACUUAGGGAGCCUCAAAGAAGAACUUCAAAGCCCAGAGAAACAUUAAAUAUUCUUGAAGAGACCAUUUUUAGCUAGCUUUGAUUAUCAUUUUGAGGAUGAACAUUCCAUGCUCCUCCUCCAGACCCUUCCUUCAAAAAUGUUACCCUCGAGUCAACCACGAGUAAUCGGUCCACCCCUACUAGAUGUAGUAUUAAAUUAUUCUUGUUAACAUCAAACAAUGAUAUAUCGGGGCUCCGUAAAG